AACACAUGGCAUGAUCACGGAGUGACCGAUGGAAAAAUAUGUGCGGAUUUUUUUUUAAAUAAAAGAACAACAGACAUCUGGGAAUAUGUUACAAAAUAAUUCGUAAACAACAGGUACCGUGGCCAGUAAUUACUAAAUAUAGUAUGGUGACGUAUGCGGAGGCUUGCCAAAGUUUUUGAGUCCCGGGCAACAGGAAAGAUAACUCCAAAAAGGAACUUUGAUACCAAAGAUUUUGAAAAUAUUUUUUCUACAUCAGUGCAUUUAAUUUUAAUUCAAUUUUUUUGAUGUAAUCUAAUUCAUAAA